rnacentral:rRNA from 1 species
AGUGAACGCUGGCGGUAGGCCUAACACAUGCAAGUCGAACGGCCGCACAGUAAGAGCUUUCUCUUACGGGUGGCGCGUGGCGGACGGUUGGUGAAUACCUCCGAAUCUACUUUUUCUUGGGGGAUAACGUAGGGACACUUACGCUAAUCCCGCAUCCGACCUACGUGUGAAAGCACGGGAUCUUCGGCCCUUGCGCGAUUCAAUGAGCCGAUGUCGGAUUAGCUAGUUGGCGGGGUAAAGGCCCACCAAGGCGACGAUCCGUAGCUGGUCUGAGAGGAUGAUCAGCAACACUGGAACUGAGACACGGUCCAGACUACUACGGGAGGCAGCAGUGGGGAAUAUUGGACAAUGGGCGCAAGCCUGAUCCAGCCAUACCGCGUGGGUGAAGAAGGCCUUCGGGUUGUAAAGCACUUUUGUUGGGAAAGAAAAGCAGCAGGUUAAUACCCCGCUGUUCUGACGGUACCCAAAGAAUAAGCACCGGCUAACUUCGUG